UGAUCCUUCCGUAAGGUGACCUGCGGAAGGAUCAUUA
rnacentral:rRNA from 1 species